rnacentral:lncRNA from 1 species
AACAUAGUAUUUUUUUUUUUCUUUUUCAAAGAAAGACAAAGUGAAAUUGUCAGGAUUUUUUAGAGUAUAACCUUCGUGCGGUACGGAAAAAUUGGGAGGAAUGUCGAGGAAAAAAGUUUUUUGAGGUAGGGAAGUCAAGUUUUCAUUCAAGUUUGGUAAUAGCACUUUCUCCACGUUCAAAAUGGAAGCUCAAAUCAGGCUCAAAAUGGAGAGUUGUUGUGAUUGUUGAGUGGUGCAGCUCAAAAAAGAGCGGCGCGACUCUUUUUUGAUCAACAAUCGCGAACAGAUAUCGAAUUCACCGCCAUUUCUCGGAACUCUUUAUAAUAAACCAAGAUUAUUGUUAAACUUAAAGCCGCUUAAAAUGUGUUUGUAAGUAGUGUAAAAUAAUUUGUAAAGUGUAAAUAAGUACAGUGUAAAGUAUUUUGUUAUUAACCACUGUAUAAAAACUGUAGAUUUCAUAUAACUUGCUCAUCAUGGAAAAUAAACCCGCUCCACAUGGUAUCCUAGGGGCCGUGACCUACGAUAAGCCAACGAAAUCGUUCAUAAUUAAAGGCGGUAUUAAAGGUCUUAAAGGUACUCCCAUUUUAUUACCAACCUCAGGCGGGCGUCCGUUGAUUCCUAGAGUUCCGUUGAAACCCAUAGCCCCAAAGAAUUCCAUAAUCCUCCCAAAACCCGGUACUCCUUUGAAUUCUGCCAUCCUUCCGACUUCCAAGCCUUCAAGUCUUGCUUCUUUGAUUCCUCUCAUUAAUUUUACUUCUACUACUAAUAAUCCACCCGUCCCUUCGAGUGACGAUAAUAUCUCAGUAGAACCUGUCACCGCUCAAACUCCUCGUAUCCCACCGAAUCCGGUUGCCCCUCCGACGCCACCAGUGAGCAUUGUGAGCAAACCGAAGAAGAAGACAAAUUCCAAGAAAAAUCCAGAAGAUGAAUGGACAGAGGUUCACACACUGGAGCUCAUUGCCUGCUACAGAGGACAACCAUGUAUGUACAACCCCAAGGAUGCAAAUUAUACCAAUAAAGUGUACCGUCUCCAAGUGAUGCAAGCCAUGCGACUUCAUUUGGCGAUGUUUCGUCCGAACGUAACUGAGGACGCAAUGCGCCUAAAGUGGAAUUCCUUAAGGACACAGUUCGUUGCAGAGGUCAAAAAACUUGAGGCAUCUAAAAGAAGCGGAACAGAUACUGACAGCAUAUAUCAACCGAGUAUGACGUAUUAUGAUGAUUUGCUCUUUUUGCAAGAUCAUCUCCAGGUACGUCAGACCACCUCAAACGCUCCGGUACGUCAGACCACCUCAAACGCUCCAACAGAUGACCACCCAGACUAUGACGAAGAUCCUGAUGAAGAGAAUCAAGACCCAGACAAUCCAAUGGCCAAUACUCCUGUGAUAAAGAUUCCUGGUCCCCCAGUUAAGAAGCGUAAGGCCUCUUUGGCACAGGAGGAACUUAAACUUCUGCAGACAAUGGGAACAACUCUGGCAACCAUUGCACAGAAAGACGCAACAAAGUCUCAGACUGUGACUCCGCCUGCGAAUCCACCUGCAAAUGAGGAUCGAUUCGACCAUUUUGGAAAGUUUAUUGCAUCAACUUUACGAUCCAUUCCUGCAGACGAGGUAAAUAACGUACAGAUGAGAAUUACGGAUGCUAUUUUCAAUCGAGGUUCUUAAGCUAUUGUUUAGCAUAAAAGCUAUUAUUUCCAAUAUGCUCAUGCGUUUAUGUGUACUUUUGCAAAAUUGAUUUAAAUUAAGCUCAAAUAUGUCAACGUAUCAUAUUUUUCGUAUUAUUCUUAUUAUUCCGAUUAUUAAAUCUCGUUUUUUCACCUGCGUUAAACCUAAUGCAAACACGAUUGAACCAUUGCCCUAUAAUUUUUUUUUUUUUUUUUUCGUUCUAUGUUAUCUCAUGCGCUCUUUUUGUCUGCGCUUUUUCAACUUCAGUAAAUUUAAGUAUAACCUAAAACGUAUUAUAAUCUAUUUCAUUUUUUAUACGUGUCUUUCGUAAGUAUGUAAUGUAUUCAGGCGUUCACUCAAUGAAAAUUUGUUUAACUUUAUGUUCAGCUGAAAUAUGUGCCUGUUACAAUUUUCGUUCUUCUUUUCCGUACGUGUAACCGCACCCUCAUCUUUUUUCUGAGCUUUAAAACAUUUACUCAUUUCUUAUUAAGCCCUAAUAAAUAAUUACUUUUACACUGGACUCACUGCUGAGUGUCAGAUAGUUUUUUCCACUUAAACACCUUACAUUAUCAGUGAAAUGUAAUUUUUGAUUUUACAAAUACUGUAUCUUACCUUCCUAUCAUGUACUCUUGUCUUUUUAUGCCUGCCUUUCAUACACGUAGGUACUAAUACAUUUAUUUUUCAAAUACAAAGUGAGUAAGCUGAUGUAUGUACUAUGUACAUGAUAUUAAUGUAUUAUCUUUUUUUGUAUGAUAUUUUUUGGAGGCACUGUAAAAUGUAAUUUUUGAGUUUUCUAAAUACAUUCUAUCUUCUUUUCUAUAACAUGUUGAAAUUCUUCAUAAUAGUUACUGUAGAGAAUCGAAUCCUUAUUCCCUGCAGCCCAUUUAUUUUUUACCUUUCUCUAUGGUAUAAUUGAGCUGCUUAGUAUCAAAAUCCGCAAUCUCCAUUGCAGCGUUUCAUAAUAUACUGUGGAUUCAUAUUUUUUCAGAAGAUAGUGGACGAAGAUAUCCAUUUGUAAUUUUGCCAGCUUUUUCUUCAUAAUGCAA